rnacentral:rRNA from 2 species
GGCGGCGUGCCUAAUACAUGCAAGUCGAACGAGUUCUCGUUGAUGAUCGGUGCUUGCACCGAGAUUCAACAUGGAACGAGUGGCGGACGGGUGAGUAACACGUGGGUAACCUGCCCUUAAGUGGGGGAUAACAUUUGGAAACAGAUGCUAAUACCGCAUAGAUCCAAGAACCGCAUGGUUCUUGGCUGAAAGAUGGCGUAAGCUAUCGCUUUUGGAUGGACCCGCGGCGUAUUAGCUAGUUGGUGAGGUAAUGGCUCACCAAGGCGAUGAUACGUAGCCGAACUGAGAGGUUGAUCGGCCACAUUGGGACUGAGACACGGCCCAAACUCCUACGGGAGGCAGCAGUAGGGAAUCUUCCACAAUGGACGCAAGUCUGAUGGAGCAACGCCGCGUGAGUGAAGAAGGCUUUCGGGUCGUAAAACUCUGUUGUUGGAGAAGAAUGGUCGGCAGAGUAACUGUUGUCGGCGUGACGGUAUCCAACCAGAAAGCCACGGCUAACUACGUGCCAGCAGCCGCGGUAAUACGUAGGUGGCAAGCGUUAUCCGGAUUUAUUGGGCGUAAAGCGAGCGCAGGCGGUUUUUUAAGUCUGAUGUGAAAGCCCUCGGCUUAACCGAGGAAGCGCAUCGGAAACUGGGAAACUUGAGUGCAGAAGAGGACAGUGGAACUCCAUGUGUAGCGGUGAAAUGCGUAGAUAUAUGGAAGAACACCAGUGGCGAAGGCGGCUGUCUGGUCUGUAACUGACGCUGAGGCUCGAAAGCAUGGGUAGCGAACAGGAUUAGAUACCCUGGUAGUCCAUGCCGUAAACGAUGAAUGCUAGGUGUUGGAGGGUUUCCGCCCUUCAGUGCCGCAGCUAACGCAUUAAGCAUUCCGCCUGGGGAGUACGACCGCAAGGUUGAAACUCAAAGGAAUUGACGGGGGCCCGCACAAGCGGUGGAGCAUGUGGUUUAAUUCGAAGCAACGCGAAGAACCUUACCAGGUCUUGACAUCUUUUGAUCACCUGAGAGAUCAGGUUUCCCCUUCGGGGGCAAAAUGACAGGUGGUGCAUGGUUGUCGUCAGCUCGUGUCGUGAGAUGUUGGGUUAAGUCCCGCAACGAGCGCAACCCUUAUGACUAGUUGCCAGCAUUUAGUUGGGCACUCUAGUAAGACUGCCGGUGACAAACCGGAGGAAGGUGGGGAUGACGUCAAAUCAUCAUGCCCCUUAUGACCUGGGCUACACACGUGCUACAAUGGAUGGUACAACGAGUUGCGAGACCGCGAGGUCAAGCUAAUCUCUUAAAGCCAUUCUCAGUUCGGACUGUAGGCUGCAACUCGCCUACACGAAGUCGGAAUCGCUAGUAAUCGCGGAUCAGCACGCCGCGGUGAAUACGUUCCCGGGCCUUGUACACACCGCCCGUCACACCAUGAGAGUUUGUAACACCCGAAGCCGGUGGCGUAACCCUUUUAGGGAGCGAGCCGUCUAAGGUGGGAC